AUAACUAAGCGGAGGAAAAGAAACCAAACGGGAUUCCCCUAGUAACGGCGAGUGAACAGGGAACAGCUCAGCGCCAAGUCCUGACACUUGACGUGUUCAGGAGAUGCGGCGUUAGUGUAGCGAUGCAUCGUGCACUGUCUCGUAUCUCAAGUUCCUUUGACAGGGACUCCCAGAGUGGGUGCUAGGCCCAUAGAGAUUGCAGGACUGGUGUACGCAAAUCGUUGCAUUUUAGAGUCAGGUUGCUUGAGAGUGCAGCCUAAAGCAGGUGGUAAACUCCAUCUAAGGCUAAAUAUUACAGCGAGACCGAUAGCAAACAAGUACCGUGAGGGAAAGUUGCAAAGAACUUUGAAGAGAGAGUUCAAAAGGACGUGAAACCACUAACAGGCAAACGGGUGGAACCACGAAGUGUGCCUGGGAGGCGAUUCAGUUUUCACCGUGUCGGUUGGCUGCACCUGUGUAUCCGGGUUCUUACCCACCAAGUGUAGCGUUUACCCAAUGGACCGGUGGUGAUGCAUUUCGUCCUUUCAGUGCUAAAGCCACGUCCGAUUAGAUGGCUGGAACGGCCGUAGUGGGUGAUCUGUGGAAGGUGGCCGUCAGGUGCGUGCGCGUUUGGCGGUGUUAUAACCACGGAUCCGUACCGUUGCCUAGCGUACUGAUCGGUGCAAGUUCUCCUUUUGGAGUUUUGCCAGCAAAGGGUUAGUGCACCUGUAGUUGCCUGGUCGUUGCGUCAGUCUGACCUUUCGCAUCUUCGGGUGCGCAAAGACAGGUUGACGUCGAUGGCCAGUGUGCUGCUUGUGUGUGGCUAACUUGUGCAAACGGUGGUGCGAGUAGGUCGGUCUCCACCCGACCCGUCUUGAAACACGGACCAAGGAGCCUAACAUAUACGCGAGUCGCUCGGUCUUGCUUAGGCCUGGGAGGCGCAAUGAAAGUAACUGGCUAUGAGGCUGGAAGCGCAUCAUGCUGCAACCAGUCGCAAUAGCGGCCCGCCUAUUUUCUUUGUCAGGGGAUAUGGCGGAGUCGGAGCGUAUACGUUGGUACCCGAAAGAUGGUGAACUAUGCCUGGGCAAGACGAAGCCAGAGGAAACUCUGGUGGAGGUCUGUAGCGAUUCUGACGUGCAAAUCGAUCGUCAGACCUGGGUAUAGGGGCGAAAGACUAAUCGAACCAUCUAGUAGCUGGUUCCCUCCGAAGUUUCCCUCAGGAUAGCAGGCGCUUGUUGAACUCAGUCUCAUCCGGUAAAGCUAAUGAUUAGAGGUCUUGGGGCCGAAACGGCCUCAACCUAUUCUCAAACUUUAAAUGGGUGAGAUGCUUGACUUACUUAACUGAAGCCAAGCAAUUGGAUGUAAGUGCCUAGUGGGCCAGCUUUGGUAAGCAGAACUGGCGCUGUGGGAUGAACCAAACGUCGAGUUAAGGCAUCAAAUGCGUACGCUCAUCAGACCCCAUGAAAGGUGUUGGUUGCUAUAGACAGCAGGACGGUGGCCAUGGAAGUCGGAAUCCGCUAAGGAGUGUGUAAAAACUCACCUGCCGAAGCAACUAGCCCUGAAAAUGGACGAUGCUGUAGCGUGGAGCCGAUACUCGACCGUUAUGACGAUCCUUUAGAAUGCGAAGUCGUAACGAGUAGGAGGGCCGCAGUGGUAGCGUUGAAGGUGUCGGACGUGAGUCCGCCUGGAGCUGCCACUGAUGCAGAUCUUGGUAGUAGUAGCAAAUACUCAAGUGAGAAUCUUGAGGACUAACGUGGAGAAAGGUUCCAUGUGAACAGCAGUUGAACAUGGGUCAGUCGGUCCUAAGGAAGCGGAGAAAUCCGUUACAACGGCCACAAUUUUAUCUCUCGCUAUCUCUCUCACACUCUCUCUCUCCUCACUCUCUCACACUUUUCAUGCRUCACAUUCUCAUCACCCCACCCACACACACACCAUCACACCACCACCAUUUGUGUGUGUGUGUGUGUGUGUGUGUGUGUGUGUGUGUGUGUGUGGGGGGGGGAUAGUAUAUAAUUAAUGAUGAUAAGUGUGUGUGUGAUACUGUGGACGAUUUUCCGAAAGGGCAUCGGGUUAAUAUUCCCGAACUCAGACACAGAGGGAGCAUCUUUGGAUGCGAAUGCGGUAACGCAGUCAAACUCGGAGACGUCGGCGGCAGCCCUAGGAAGAGUUGUCUUUUCUCUAUAAGGGGUCGACUCCAUGAAAACAGCUUGCCUGGAGAUAUGGAUGUUGACACCGAAGAGCCCCGCGGUUCUUGCGGGGUCUGGUGCGCUGCUGUCGGCCCUUGAAAAUCCGAGGGCGAGUGUUUACCUUUGUCCUGAGCCGUACUCAUAUCCGCAGCAGGUCUCCAAGGUUAACAGCCUCUAGUUUUUAGAAUAAUGUAGGUAAGGGAAGUCGGCAAAACCGAUCCGUAACUUCGGGAUAAGGAUUGGCUCUGAAGGAUGGGUCGGUCGGGCUGUGGCCAGAAGCGAGUGUUGCGCCUGACUGGGACUGGACUCCUGCCCGACGGUUAGAGUCUGGGCCU
rnacentral:rRNA from 1 species